rnacentral:rRNA from 1 species
AACGUACGCUGGCGGCACGCCUAACACAUGCAAGUCGAACGAAGUAGCAAUACUUAGUGGCAGACGGGUGAGUAGCAUGUAGGUAUCUGCCCUUUGGCCUGGAAUAACACGAGGAAACUUGUGCUAAUACCGGAUAAGUCUUUACGGAGAAAGCUUUAUGCACCAUUGGAUGAGCCUGCACUUGAUUAGCUUGUUGGUGGGGUAAUGGCCUACCAAGACUGUGAUCAAUAGCUGAUUUGAGAGGAUGAUCAGCCACAUUGGGACUGAGACACGGCCCAAACUCCUACGGGAGGCAGCAGUGGGGAAUCUUGCACAAUGGAGGAAACUCUGAUGCAGCGAUGCCGCGUGAGUGAAGAAGGCCCUUGGGUUGUAAAGCUCUUUCGUCGGGGAAGAAAAUGACUGUACCCGAAUAAGAAGGUCCGGCUAACUUCGUGCCAGCAGCCGCGGUAAUACGAAGGGACCUAGCGUAGUUCGGAAUUACUGGGCUUAAAGAGUUCGUAGGUGGUUGAAAAAGUUAGUGGUGAAAUCCCAGAGCUUAACUCUGGAACUGCCAUUAAAACUUUUCAGCUAGAGUAUGAUAGAGGAAAGCAGAAUUUCUAGUGUAGAGGUGAAAUUCGUAGAUAUUAGAAAGAAUACCAAUUGCGAAGGCAGCUUUCUGGAUCAUUACUGACACUGAGGAACGAAAGCAUGGGUAGCGAAGAGGAUUAGAUACCCUCGUAGUCCAUGCCGUAAACGAUGUGUGUUAGACGUUGGAAAUUUAUUUUCAGUGUCGCAGGGAAACCGAUAAACACACCGCCUGGGGAGUACGACCGCAAGGUUAAAACUCAAAUGAAUUGACGGGGACCCGCACAAGUAGUGGAGCAUGUGGUUUAAUUCGAAGAUACGCGCAGAACCUUACCAACACUUGACAUGUUCGUCGCGACUCUAAGAGAUUAGAGUUUUCGGUUCGGCCGGACGAAACACAGGUGCUGCAUGGCUGUCGUCAGCUCGUGUCGUGAGAUGUUGGGUUAAGUCCCGCAACGAGCGCAACCCUCACUUUUAGUUGCCAUCAUUAAGUUGGGCACUCUGAAAGAACUGCCAGUGAUAAGCUGGAGGAAGGUGGGGAUGACGUCAAGUCCUCAUGGCCCUUACGUGUUGGGCUACACACGUGCUACAAUGGUAUCUACAACAGGAAGCAAGACUGCGAAGUUAAGCAAAUCCCUAAAAGAUACCUCAGUUCGGAUUGCACUCUGCAACUCGAGUGCAUGAAGCUGGAAUUACUAGUAAUCGUGGAUCAGCGUGCCACGGUGAAUGCGUUCCCGGGUCU